rnacentral:rRNA from 1 species
AUGAAAAGCCCUUUGAAAAGAGAGUUAAAAAGUACGUGAAAUUGUUGAAAGGGAAGCGUUUAUGACCAGACUUGGGCUUGGUUAAUCAUCUGGGGUUCUCCCCAGUGCACUUUUCCAGUCCAGGCCAGCAUCAGUUUUCCCCGGGGGAUAAAGACUUCGGGAAUGUGGCUCUCUUCGGGGAGUGUUAUAGCCCGUUGUGUAAUACCCUGGGGGGGACUGAGGUUCGCGCAUCUGCAAGGAUGCUGGCGUAAUGGUCAUCAACGACCCGUCUUGAAACACGGACCAAGAG